AAAUUGAAGAGUUUGAUCAUGGCUCAGAUUGAACGCUGGCGGCAGGCCUAACACAUGCAAGUCGAGCGGAAACGAGUUAUCUGAACCUUCGGGGRACGAUAACGGCGUCGAGCGGCGGACGGGUGAGUAAUGCCUAGGAAAUUGCCCUGAUGUGGGGGAUAACCAUUGGAAACGAUGGCUAAUACCGCAURAUGCCUACGGGCCAAAGAGGGGGACCUUCGRGCCUCUCGCGUCAGGAUAUGCCUAGGUGGGAUUAGCUAGUUGGUGAGGUAAGGGCUCACCAAGGCGACGAUCCCUAGCUGGUCUGAGAGGAUGAUCAGCCACACUGGAACUGAGACACGGUCCAGACUCCUACGGGAGGCAGCAGUGGGGAAUAUUGCACAAUGGGCGCAAGCCUGAUGCAGCCAUGCCGCGUGUGUGAAGAAGGCCUUCGGGUUGUAAAGCACUUUCAGUCGUGAGGAAGGUAGUGUA
rnacentral:rRNA from 1 species